UGCAGUCGAGCGGAUGAGAGGAGCUUGCUCCUCGAUUCAGCGGCGGACGGGUGAGUAAUGCCUAGGAAUCUGCCUAGUAGUGGGGGACAACGUUUCGAAAGGAACGCUAAUACCGCAUACGUCCUACGGGAGAAAGUGGGGGAUCUUCGGACCUCACGCUAUUAGAUGAGCCUAGGUCGGAUUAGCUAGUUGGUAGGGUAAAGGCCUACCAAGGCGACGAUCCGUAACUGGUCUGAGAGGAUGAUCAGUCACACUGGAACUGAGACACGGUCCAGACUCCUACGGGAGGCAGCAGUGGGGAAUAUUGGACAAUGGGCGAAAGCCUGAUCCAGCCAUGCCGCGUGUGUGAAGAAGGCCUUCGGGUCGUAAAGCACUUUAAGUUGGGAGGAAGGGCUCAUAGCGAAUACCUGUGAGUUUUGACGUUACCAACAGAAUAAGCACCGGCUAACUUCGUGCCAGCAGCCGCGGUAAUACGAAGGGUGCAAGCGUUAAUCGGAAUUACUGGGCGUAAAGCGCGCGUAGGUGGCUUGAUAAGUUGGAUGUGAAAUCCCCGGGCUCAACCUGGGAACUGCAUCCAAAACUGUCUGGCUAGAGUGCGGUAGAGGGUAGUGGAAUUUCCAGUGUAGCGGUGAAAUGCGUAGAUAUUGGAAGGAACACCAGUGGCGAAGGCGACUACCUGGACUGACACUGACACUGAGGUGCGAAAGCGUGGGGAGCAAACAGGAUUAGAUACCCUGGUAGUCCACGCCGUAAACGAUGUCAACUAGCCGUUGGGAUCCUUGAGAUCUUAGUGGCGCAGCUAACGCAUUAAGUUGACCGCCUGGGGAGUACGGCCGCAAGGUAAAACUCAAAUGAAUUUGACGGGGGCCCGCACAAGCGGUGGAGCAUGUGUUAAUUCGAAGCAACGCGAACAACUUACCUGGCCUUGACAUGCUGAGAACUUCCUGAGAAUGGAUUGGGCCUUCGGGAA
rnacentral:rRNA from 1 species